GGACCAUUCCCUGGGGAGCCUGGGCAGUGCCCAGCACCCUCUGGGGGAAGAACCUUUUCCUGAUCUCCAGCCUAACCCUCUCCUGACACCGUUCCAGGCAUUCCCUUGGGUCCUGUCUUGGUCACAGGAGCAGAGAUCGGAGCUGCCCCUUGUGAGGAACUGCAGAUCCCUGAGGUCUCCCGAGACUCCUCUCUUCCAGCUGGACAGACCAAAUGCCCUCAGCUGCUCCUCCAGACCCUUCACCAUCCUCAUGUCCACCCUUUGGACACUCUCCAGCAGCUUCAGACCUUUCAAAGAUUGUGGUGCCCAAACUGCCCCCAAGACUCGAGAGACCCUGAACAGUGUCCCCUGGAACAGAACCAGGUCACCAGCCAGGAUUUUUGUUCGUUUCCCAAUGUGAAGAGGAAAAAAACCCCAAGAGAGGCCGUGACUCACCUUUCCCAGCAACUCGUGGGGAGUGUAGGCUGAGCUGUGUUUGAAGAGCGAGCCAGUCUGGCUGAGGCUGGUCACAACAGCACCUCCACUCUGGAAGGCAGAUCAGAAAUAAAAAUCUUGUUCAUGCUGGUUUAGGAUCAA